CUUGGUCAUUUAGAGGAAGUAAAAGUCGUAACAAGGUUUCCGUAGGUGAACCUGCGGAAGGAUCAUUAUCGAAUUGUAAGGACUUUGGUUGUCGCUGGCUCUCUCUGGGAGCAUGUGCACGCCUGGUUCGCACUCUUCAUUCUUUAACCUCCUGUGCACCCUUUGUGGAUCGUGGUUGGAUAACUCUCGGGCUAACACUCGGUUUUGAGGAUUGCGUCUAACACGCGCUCUCCUCUACAUCCACACCACGGUUCAUGUAUUUUUACACACUACUAUUACAAACCUAGAAUGCUUAACGAGUUGGGACUUUAGUGACCCUUCUUAAACUUUAUACAACUUUCAGCAACGGAUCUCUUGGCUCUCGCAUCGAUGAAGAACGCAGCGAAAUGCGAUAAGUAAUGUGAAUUGCAGAUUUCAGUGAAUCAUCGAAUCUUUGAACGCACCUUGCGCCUUGUGGUAUUCCACAAGGCAUGCCCGUUUGAGUGUCAUUAAAUCAUCAACCUCAAAACCUUUGUGUUUCUGAGGCUUGGUCUUGAGGGUUUUGCAGGCCAUCCCCGGUCUGCUCCCUUUAAAUCUAUUAGCGAGACUUCCCUGUGCUGACCGUCUCUUGGCGUGAUAAUUAUCUGCGUCAAACUUGGCGGUUCUCGUUGGGCUUGCUUCUAAUCGUCCUCGGACAAUCGGAUUCGGGCGCAUAUAUGCACCUGUUUUCCAAAACCUUUUGACCUCAAAUCGGGUAGGACUACCCGCUGAACUUAAGCAUAUCAAUAAGCGGAGGAAAAGAAACUAACAAGGAUUCCCCUAGUAACUGCGAGUGAAGAGGGAACAGCUCAAAUUUAAAAUCUGGCGGUCCUUGCGGCUGUCCGAGUUGUAAUUUAGAGAAGCGUCACCCGCGUUGGACCGUGUACAGUCUCCUCGAACGGAGCAUCAUAGAGGGUGAGAAUCCCGUACAUGACACGGACUGCCAGGGCUUUGUGGUGCGCUCUCGACGAGUCGAGUUGUUUGGGAAU
rnacentral:sRNA from 1 species